GACGAACGCUGGCGGCGUGCUUAACACAUGCAAGUCGAACGGAAAGGCCCUGCUUUUGUGGGGUGCUCGAGUGGCGAACGGGUGAGUAACACGUGAGUAACCUGCCCUUGACUUUGGGAUAACUUCAGGAAACUGGGGCUCAUACCGGAUAGGAGCUCCUGCUGCAUGGUGGGGGUUGGUAAGUUUCGGCGGUUGGGGAUGGACUCGCGGCUUAUCAGCUUGUUGGUGGGGUAGUGGCUUACCAAGGCUUUGACGGGUAGCCGGCCUGAGAGGGUGACCGGCCACAUUGGGACUGAGAUACGGCCCAGACGCCUACGGGAGGCAGCAGUGGGGAAUAUUGCACAAUGGGCGGAAGCCUGAUGCAGCAACGCCGCGUGCGGGAUGACGGCCUUCGGGGUGUAAACCGCUUUCGCCUGUGACGAAGCGUGAGUGACGGUAAUGGGUAAAGAAGCACCGGCUAACUACGUG
rnacentral:rRNA from 1 species